UAGUCCACGCCGUAAACGAUGAGAACUAGAUGUUGGGAGGAAUAGCCUUUCGGUGUCGCAGCUAACGCAUUAAGUUCUCCGCCUGGGGAGUACGCCGGCAACGGUAAAACUCAAAGGAAUUGACGGGGACCCGCACAAGCGGUGGAGCAUGUGGUUUAAUUCGAUGCAACGCGAAGAACCUUACCUGCCCUUGACAUACAGAGAACUUUCCAGAGAUGGAUUGGUGCCUUCGGGAACUCUGAUACAGGUGCUGCAUGGCUGUCGUCAGCUCGUGUCGUGAGAUGUUGGGUUAAGUCCCGCAACGAGCGCAACCCUUGUCUUUAGUUGCCAUCAUUUAGUUGGGCACUCUAGAGAAACUGCCGGUGACAAACCGGAGGAAGGUAAGGAUGACGUCAAGUCAGCAUGCCCCUUACGCUCUGGGCUACACACGUGCUACAAUGGUCGUGACAAAGAGUUGCUAGUCUGCGAAGGCAAGCCAAUCUCAUAAACGCGGCCUUAGUUCGG
rnacentral:rRNA from 1 species